rnacentral:rRNA from 1 species
ACGCUCGACACCUACGGGAAGCAGCAGUGAGGAAUAUUGGUCAAUGGGCGCUAGCCUGAACCAGCCAAGUAGCGUGAAGGAUGAAGGCUCUAUGGGUCGUAAACUUCUUUUAUAUAAGAAUAAAGUGCAGUAUGUAUACUGUUUUGUAUGUAUUAUAUGAAUAAGGAUCGGCUAACUCCGUGCCAGCAGCCGNGGUAAUCUGAGCGGGCUGGCAAGGC